AUGAUUGAUGAGAAUAACGAUGUCAGUGAGGAGGCCUUGAGCGCUGAAACUGAAGGAGAAGCAUGACAUGCUGGACAAGGAGAUCUCCCAGUUAAUAGCAGAGGGCUACCGUGUGAUUGAGCUGGAGAAGCAUAUCUCCCUCCUCCAUGAGUACAAUGACAUCAAGGAUGUAUCACAGAUGCUGCUGGGGAAACUGGCUGUGACUCGAGGCGUUACCACCAAGGAGUUAUAUCCAGAUUUUGAUCUAAACCUGAAUGACUGAGCAGCUUCUUGGAGAUUUUCAUCUACAGCCCACAGGGACAGGAGGAUGGGGGCAUAAAAGGCAGAGUCUACACAGCAUAUUCAUAUGGUUUUCAGAUUUUAAAAGAUGCUAGAAGCCCUCCAAAGUUUGGGGUGGGUUCUAGAGAAGAGGAGUAUUGGGAGGGGUGGGUAUUGUCAAUGUUAAGUUCCUAAACAUACUUGUGAGUAGGUGUGUGUGGUUGUUCCUUUUGUUAAUAAACAUAUGAGCAGUCAAAAAAAAAAAAAA